rnacentral:tRNA from 1 species
GGCUCGGUAGCUUAGUUGGAAAAAGCACUUGUGUAACGUAUAAGCACAAACUCAAAUACAUGAGUUUGAGGUAUAAGGGUCGUGAGUUCAAAUCUCACCUGAGCUG